AGAAUACCAGUUGUUAUCUGCUAGAAUCCAAAAGCUGAAAGGCUCCAUUUAGUUACAAGGUCAUUGAUUUGAAUUGAAUGCACCAUCAUUACCAUGGAGCGAAAGUUUUUGUUAUUAAAUUAUGGUGAAAGAACAAAAAAAAAUAUCUGUGACUAAUGAUUUAAAUGUAAAUUUUAUUCAAGAAAAUGUUCAAUCAAAAUUUGGUUUGAAUGAUCAUGAUGUACAUCUCCAAAUUUUAGACAAUGAUGUAGGAGAGUACAUCGACUUGGAUUCAAAUGAAGAUAUAAAUUUAGAAUUAAAUAUAAUCAGAGUAAAAAUAACAAAGGCAUUUGUAAGUGCGGAUUCCCAAGAAAUUCCAAGAACAACAGCUUGUACUCCCUUUACGUUGCCAAUUGUGAAUGAAUCAACAGAAUCUUUCAGUACCUGUACAUCACCAGUACCUACAUGUACAUCUACAUGUAUCAACUUGAGCAGCCCAUCUAGACAAGUGCCUACAUCUAGCAACAUAUUCACGAACAGCCCAUCUGGAGUAGAGAUUAUUGGUAGUGAUGUGCCGACCACAAAAAAACAGAUAACACGGAAACAAUGGCCUAGAAUUUACCACUUUCCAUCUGCCAGUGCACCUAGGGCAUUAUAUAUCAAAAUAGAAAGAAAAGAACCUCUUGAAAAAUCAGACAGAAGUCGACUGCUGGAUACAAUUUAUAACAAUGUAACGCAGUUUGAAGGUGGUCUCUACCCCUCAUCAGACAUGUAUGACCAGAUAGUGGACGGGAUUCUUAUGGAAUUUCCCAUGCUUAUGCAAGAAAGU